CGCACGUGCGGCGUGCCUAUACUGCAAGUCGAACGAACUCUGGUAUUGAUUGGUGCUUGCAUCUUGAUUUACAUUUGAGUGAGUGGCGAACUGGUGAGUAACACGUGGGAAACCUGCCCAGAAGCGGGGGAUAACACCUGGAAACAGAUGCUAAUACCGCAUAACAACUUGGACCGCAUGGUCCGAGUUUGAAAGAUGGCUUCGGCUAUCACUUUUGGAUGGUCCCGCGGCGUAUUAGCUAGAUGGUGGGGUAACGGCUCACCAUGGCAAUGAUAGGUAGCCGACCUGAGAGGGUAAUCGGCCACAUUGGGACUGAGACACGGCCCAAACUCCUACGGGAGGCAGCAGUAGGGAAUCUUCCACAAUGGACGAAAGUCUGAUGGAGCAACGCCGCGUGAGUGAAGAAGGGUUUCGGCUCGUAAAACUCUGUUGUUAAAGAAGAACAUAUCUGAGAGUAACUGUUCAUGUAUUGACGGUAUUUAACCAGAAAGCCACGGCUAACUACGUGCCAGCAGCCGCGGUAAUACGUAGGUGGCAAGCGUUGUCCGGAUUUAUUGGGCGUAAAGCGAGCGCAGGCGGUUUUUUAAGUCUGAUGUGAAAGCCUUCGGCUCAACCGAAGAAGUGCAUCGGAUACUGGGAAACUUGAGUGCAGAAGAGGACAGUGGAACUCCAUGUGUAGCGGUGAAAUGCGUAGAUAUAUGGAACAACACCGGUGGCGAAGGCUGCUGUCUGGUCUGUUACUGACGCUGAGGGCCGAAAGUGUGGGUAGCCAACGGGAUUAGAUACCCUGGUACUCCAUACCGUACACGAUGAAUGCUAAGGGUGUGGGGGGUCUCCGCCUUUCGGCGCUGCCGCUUCCCCCUUUUCCCUUUCCGCCCGGGGGGGGCCCGGCGCAAGGGGAAAAACAAAAAAGAAAGGAGGGGGGGG
rnacentral:rRNA from 1 species